UACGAAGGGGGCUAGCGUUGCUCGGAAUCACUGGGCGUAAAGCGCACGUAGGCGGAUCUUUAAGUCAGGGGUGAAAUCCUGGAGCUCAACUCCAGAACUGCCUUCGAUACUGCGGGUCUCGAGUCCGGGAGAGGUGAGUGGAAUUCCUAGUGUAGAGGUGAAAUUCGUAGAUAUUAGGAAGAACACCAGUGGCGAAGGCGGCUCACUGGCCCGGUACUGACGCUGAGGCGCGAAAGCGUGGGGAGCAAACAGG
rnacentral:rRNA from 1 species